UACCUACGGGAGGCAGCAGUCGGAAAUAUUGCGCAAUGGAGGAAACUCUGACGCAGUGACGCCGCGUGCAGGAAGAAGGUUUUCGGAUUGUAAACUGCUUUAGACAGGGAAGAUACAAGACAGUACCUGUAAAAUAAGCUCCGGCUAACUACGUGCCAGCAGCCGCGGUAAUACGUAGGGAGCAAGCGUUAUCCGGAUUUAUUGGGUGUAAAGGGUGCGUAGACGGGAAGGCAAGUUGGUUGUGAAAUCCCUCGGCUUAACUGAGGAACUGCAACCAAAACUAUUUUUCUUGAGUGCUGGAGAGG
rnacentral:rRNA from 1 species